GUCACUUGACGCCGCCUCUCUCACGCUAGUCCCGCCCCUCUCUCCUGGACUAGCUACCUAUCUUCUGACGCUUGCUCUCUGGUCCCUGCGGGGGUUACCAUAGCAACGGUGCACGCAGAAGCUAGGUUUCCCUAGUUGGACCUGGCUGGCGGCAGGGAAGAGCCGGCACCAUGAGUCACGUAGUGACUAUCGAAGAACCCCAGGCCAAGCCUCAGGUGUCUCAAACCCGGUUCGGAGGGAAGUCGGGGGCCUGGGGCAACGUCUCUGCCAGUCGAACUUAUGAUUUCUUAUACGACCCAUUGUUUAUUGUAUCAAGUGAGAAAGACCACAACCAGGCGAAUAUUCAGGCCACCAUGAUUCGAAGCAAACUGAGAAGGGUUCCCAGGUUUAGAACCAUGUUCAGCAGCAUGUUCCAUUAUCCAAGAUACUCUGUUUAUUGGAGCAAGGCAGAUCCUGUUCCGUCAUUCAUCAGUCGGGACUGGAAGCGACAUGAGGAAAGGCACAGAGAAACCCUCCAGCAGCUUGCCGCAAUUGAUGCUUCUUUUCGGAUGCCUAAAGAAGUUUAUGAAGAUCCUGAUGUUACUGGAAAGAAUCGCUAUAAAUAUUUUGAAAGGCCUUUCCUUCCAUUUUAUCAGCAGAUGCCACUCAGUGUUGUUUUUGCAUCAACCAGGGCAGAUCCAUAUACUUUUCCUCCUCCUCCUACUAAGUACCUGCCCAUUCCUUCGAAGUACACGGUGGGCACUCAGACUGAUUAUCGGGAUGCUGAAGUUCAAACAGACCCGUAUUCUCCAGAAUAUGUAGUAUGUCAAGAUUCCAUCCCUGAGCUCCUGACCCUGGCUACUCUCACUUGGGGUCGAGGUCUCCCGGCAGGACAAGCUGAAGUAGAGAUGAUAGAACGUGCCCGGGAGAAGCGUGCUUGGGAAGACACCCUGCCCCCUCUGAGUGACACCUCCCAGUUUGAGAAAAGGAGGCGGAUGAUGAAUGCCAUGGAGAGGAAGGAGUGGGCCUUCAGAGAGCAGGAGAUUGAGAAAUUGCAGGAGAUGCGCCUGGAAGUUCUAAAAGAACUGCUGAAGAAGCGUGACGAGAAUCAAAAUGAAGUGAACAUGGCACGCUUGAAUGCCCAGUGGUCUAAACUACAGGAAGCAAAGGAGGCAAAGUUGGCACAGAUUCAACGCAAGCAUGUAUCAGCAAUCAGAAAACUUAUGGGAAAGGGGAAGAAUAUAGAAGGGAAGUUGGAGAGAAGAAAUAUCAUCAAGGAUUAUUGUGAUUAUGCAUCACAGGUCUAUGGACCUCUAUCUCGCCUUGGUCGUUUCCCAGACAACAAUUCAGAGGACUUUGUAGUAAAAAACCACUAUCUCAACACCUAUGAAGGAUUAGUUGAACUUGAGUCGUGUCUCCCAGAUUUUGUGACACAACCCCGAAUCAAACCACCAAAACCAAAAGUCACUACUACCAAAGAUGGUUUUCUAAAGAGGGCUGCAAGGAUGGACCACGAGUUGGCAGAGGUUCAUAAGGCAUUGUUGGAAAAGAAGAAUAAGGAUUUCAAAGCAAAGAAGCCUAUGCGUUUUCUUCAAAGAAAGCCAGUACCUCAACCUCGACUUCCAACUCCAACCCUGGAGAUGAGUUCCAAUGAAGAAGAAGAUAUAGAAAUGGCAGUGAUCUACCUUCAAAAGUUGCUCCGGGGCAGAGUUGUUCAAAACAUGAUGUUUGAAGGGAAGGAGAAGCGACUGGAGUUGAUCCAGGAGCUGCGCACCAGCCACGCACUGCAAGAAGACGACAGGCUGGUGAAGAAAGCCGAGAAGCAGGUGACCCUGGCCCUGCAGCGGCAGAGGAACUUGCACGAGCACAAGGUGUCGCUGGUUGAAAACCAUUUGGCUGGACUGGAAGGAAGGGUGCUGGCGGACAUGUUUGACUUCCUGUCCAAAGAGCUGGUGAGGCUGCAGGAGGAGAGGCGGGUCCACGCCCUGGCCAUGCUGGCCGAGCGGCAGCGCCGGAUGCGUGAAGCUGAAGAGAGCGGCCGGCGCCAGGUGGAGCAGAGGCGUCUGCAGGAGGAGGACCAGAUAUUUAAGGAGGUGAUUAAAGUUCACCAAAGCACUGUAACUUCCUAUCUGGAGGACAUAAUACUGAACACUGAAGAGAAUACUGCAGAAGAACAAGCCAGGGCGGAAAUAGAGAAGAUGGCUGAGGAAAUCAAUGACAUUGCUUAUGAAAUGGAAAGCCGUCGAACUCAGCUUCAGUCAGAGGAGAUUGUGGCCGAGUUGGUUUACAGUUUCCUGAUCCCAGAGGUGCAAAAGGACUUUGUCAAAGAAAAGGGACAUAGCCCAAAUGAAGAAAGCCAUCUGGACGGGGAGUACACAUUGUAUUUCUUUCUCUUUCCAAUGAGGAACGCUCAGCGGAAGCAUAUCCUGGCAGCCCAUCAGAUCAUCCACAGGCACACAGAGGACAUGCUCAAGACGCAUUUUGUUGAGCAACGGCAGACAUCAGGCACUGAGCUACUUGAGGGAGAAACUGAAAAUGAGCAAAACACCUAAGAAAAACGUUGGAACCUGUCAAAAAAGAUACUCUGCAUCCAAAGAAGAAGCCUCAAUGAGACGACUGGAGGGGCACAAUACAAUCAAAUCCCAUACAUGCCAGACUAUGAUCUUUUAAAGAGAAGCUGUACAAAUCAUCAUAGAGAAUUCCAGUUGUCUGCCCUUCUUCCAAGAUGUGCAGCUCUUGGGGCUUGUCAGUGUGUGAUGCAUGAGGAAACAGAUUUCUUUUCUUUAAACUCCCAAGGAUUUAACGUGAUUUUCAGUAAUAACAAUCAAAUGAAAGAGCUUUAUUCUCUCUGGUAUUUCCUAGAUGCUCUACCUAAAGAGAAAAUUUUCUCAUGUCUCAUUUCAACAUUUCGUUCACUACAAAGAUAUACUGGCUUGUUGAGUCAAAUAUAAAUCAGUAAAAAAAAUGUUAUUGAAUAUUUCUUAAGUGGUUUUGGUUUGCUGUUCAGAGUGUAUUGGCAUUAUCUGUUAAGGUUGAAAAUAUGCAAUCCCAUGACCCAGCAUUUCACUGUCCAGUAGAAAUGCAGAGUAUGUGCACUAACAGGUGUGACAAGACUGCCGUAGCAGUUCUAUUUAUGCUGGCUCAGAACUGGAAAUCCAAACAUUUGCCUACAGAGAAACAGAAAAAUAAGCCCUAGUCUAUCCAUGCGAUGUCAUGUCAAGUUACCAUUGAGCUUUAACUCUGAGAAGUAUAUUCAUGAAACACCCAUGGAGAGGGUGCUGCUGGAGAACUAUCUGCCCAUCCCACAUGCUGACAAGAGUCGGGGUUAAAUGGAUCUCUCCUCAUUUAAAGAUCAGAAAAUAGGAAAAAUAAUAAAUAACCAAAAGCAUCAACAAAAAAAUCAACAUGGGACUCAUGUAAAGAACUUACAAAAGAAAGUGUAUGUUAUGUGAACACAGAAUAAAAGCCUAUCUUAGAAAAUAUCUUACUAUGGAAACAAGAAAAGCUUCAGACUAUCUGUUUGGUGUUUUUAACAGGAUGCAAAAAGAAAUGGCCCCUUAGAAAACUGAAGCAAGCAUUAAUAAGAACAGAGGUUAGCCCUGAAUGACCAGUCCUACAAGCAACUAGAAUUCUUAAAGAAGAAACCAAAACAGAAACAAUCAAAGUUAUAAUAAAAAUUUUUCUCAGCUGAAAAAAAUACAUGAUCAUACAAACCUGAAAGAGUUUUACCUUAUCCGAGGAAAACUAUGACUGGGGCAACAUUUUAAUUUUUUUGUUUUGUUUGCCUUGAGGAUCACUGAUCAACAGAAAAGUAGUGUACAAUUAAGCGGCAAUUGAAUUUUAUUUUGUUCCUUUAAAAAUGCUAACCCUGUGUCUUUCCUGGUGGUCCAGUGGCUAAGACUCCACACUCCCAAUGCAGGGGGCCUGAGUUCAAUUCCUGGUCAGGGAACUAGAUCCCACAUGGUGAAACUAAAAGGUUCACAUGCCACGAUGAAAGAUUCCACAUGUCACAACUAAGAUCUGGUGCAGCCAAAUAAAAAAAAAAAUUUUAAUGCUGACAUUAACUAGGUAAAUGUAUUAUUCACUUUUGAAAUGAAAAAUCAGGAAGACAAAAUGAGAAGACAUGAGUUGGAUGAUGGGAGAGAACAUGGGAGGAAGAAUGUGGUACCGCAGGGAACAUGAGACUUUCCAUAAAGAGCCAGUAGACUUUGCAGGGAAGAUGGUCUCUGUUGCAACUACUCAACUCUGCCAUUUUAGGACAAAAAAGGGUAACAAAUGAAUGAACACUGCUGUAUUCCAAAAAUAAGCUUUUUAUACAAAAACUGGCAGGCCAGAUUUGGUUCCUGAGCCAUAGUUUGCCCACCCUUGCUAUGCCACAGUGAACUAUAAAAUCAAUGCCUACUUUAAUAAAGGAUUUAAGCAGCUUAUAAUAAAGAACAUAAAAUGAAACUUACAAUAGAAUAUUUUCUAAAAAAUCUUUAUCCUUAUAUUCUAAACUAAGCUUUGUGUUUAGACAAGAAAAAAACCUAUAAGAUAUUACAAAUCCUCAUUAGCUAAUUGAAAUUUACUAAGAAAGGAAAGCUUUUUCCUGAUACUGGCAACUCUGUUUUUAAUGACUUAAGUCGAAACACCCCACCUUAGUCUUUGCUCUUGGAAACAAAAUAUCCUGAGUGAUGAGCAAACCUUGUGUUUAAAGCGCUGUGAAUGGAAUAUUACUCAGC